UGGGGGAUCGUCUAGCGGUAGGACAGCGGACUCUGACUCCGCCAGCCUAGGUUCGAAUCCUAGUCCCCCAGCCA
rnacentral:tRNA from 1 species